rnacentral:rRNA from 1 species
ACGGGCGGAGUGUACAAGACCCGGGAACGUAUUCACCGCGACAUUCUGAUUCGCGAUUACUAGCGAUUCCAGCUUCGUGCAGUCGAGUUGCAGACUGCAGUCCGAACUGAGACGUUAUUUUUGGGAUUUGCUUAACUUCGCAAGUCUCGCUUCCCUUUGUUUACGCCAUUGUAGCACGUGUGUAGCCCUGCCCAUAAGGGGCAUGAUGAUUUGACGUCAUCCCCGCCUUCCUCCAGGUUAUCCCUGGCAGUCUCUCUAAGAGUGGCCACCUUAAAAUGCUGGCUACUAAAGAUAAGGGUUGCGCUCGUUGCGGGACUUAAACCCAACAUCUCACGACACGAGCUGACGACAAACAUGCACCACCUGUCUCCGGUGUCCCCGAAGGAAAAGCAGGCAUUACCCUGCGGUCACCGGGAUGUCAAGGGCAAGUAA